UACGAAGGGUGCAAGCGUUAAUCGGAAUUACUGGGCGUAAAGCGCGCGUAGGUGGUUCGUUAAGUUGGAUGUGAAAGCCCCGGGCUCAACCUGGGAACUGCAUCCAAAACUGGCGAGCUAGAGUACGGUAGAGGGUGGUGGAAUUUCCUGUGUAGCGGUGAAAUGCGUAGAUAUAGGAAGGAACACCAGUGGCGAAGGCGACCA
rnacentral:rRNA from 1 species